CAGGCUGCAAUCCCACGUCAUAAGGGAGGAGAGACCAGCCCUCUGUUGGUGCCGUUUCCAUGGAGACUGUACAACAGUUUGGUGAAGUUUUGCUGUAAAAAGGAGCACCUGUGCUUAAACUUGCAGAGAUUUAAGUCCAGAUGGAUUUUCUAAUUCACAUUCCUACUUUUAAAUGCACUUUAUUUUUUCCUCAUUUUAAAGCAGGGUCUCAUCUCAGGACUUAAAAAAGAUCUCAGGAAGCAAAGUCUCUUCUAAGGAUGGACUUGGCUGAUGCAGAAGUUGAGCAGGAAAUAGAGCAGCAAUUCUUGAGCUGCAGGAGGGCCAGAUUGCUUACAAAGCCACUUCCCUUGUGCCACUGA
rnacentral:lncRNA from 1 species